rnacentral:rRNA from 1 species
CCUACGGGAGGCAGCAGUGGGGAAUAUUGGACAAUGGGCGAAAGCCUGAUCCAGCAAUGCCGCGUGAGUGAUGAAGGCCUUAGGGUUGUAAAGCUCUUUUACCAGGGAUGAUAAUGACAGUACCUGGAGAAUAAGCUCCGGCUAACUCCGUGCCAGCAGCCGCGGUAAUACGGAGGGAGCUAGCGUUGUUCGGAAUUACUGGGCGUAAAGCGUACGUAGGCGGUUAUUCAAGUCAGAGGUGAAAGCCUGGAGCUCAACUCCAGAACUGCCUUUGAAACUAGAUAGCUAGAAUCUUGGAGAGGUGAGUGGAAUUCCGAGUGUAGAGGUGAAAUUCGUAGAUAUUCGGAAGAACACCAGUGGCGAAGGCGACUCACUGGACAAGUAUUGACGCUGAGGUACGAAAGCGUGGGGAGCAAACAGGAUUAGAUACCCUGGUAGUCCACGCCGUAAACGAUGAUAACUAGCUGUUCGGGCUCUACGAGCUUGAGUGGCGCNGCUACGACAUUAAGUUAUCCGUCCGUCGGGAGGUACGGUCGCGAGAAUUAAAACGUUAAAAGUAAAGUUAGUACGGACGUGAGACGUCGCCGACGGACGACGACGAGGGAGGUUAGG